rnacentral:rRNA from 1 species
GUGCCAGCCGCCGCGGUAAUACGUAGGGUGCGAGCGUUAAUCGGAAUUACUGGGCGUAAAGCGUGCGCAGGCGGUUUUUUAAGACAGAUGUGAAAUCCCCGGGCUUAACCUGGGAACUGCAUUUGUGACUGGAAGACUAGAGUACGGCAGAGGGGGGUAGAAUUCCACGUGUAGCAGUGAAAUGCGUAGAUAUGUGGAGGAAUACCGAUGGCGAAGGCAGCCCCCUGGGUCGAUACUGACGCUCAUGCACGAAAGCGUGGGGAGCAAACAGGAUUAGAUACCCGCGUAGUCC